rnacentral:rRNA from 1 species
AUACGUAGGGGGCGAGCGUUGUCCGGAAUGAUUGGGCGUAAAGGGCGCGUAGGCGGCGCGGUAAGUCUGGAGUGAAAGUCCUGCUUUCAAGGUGGGAAUUGCUUUGGAUACUGCCGCGCUUGAGUGCAGGAGAGGUUAUCGGAAUUCCCGGUGUAGCGGUGAAAUGCGUAGAGAUCGGGAGGAACACCAGUGGCGAAGGCGGGUAACUGGACUGCAACUGACGCUGAGGCGCGAAAGUGUGGGGAGCAAACAGGAUUAGAUACCUUGGUAGUCCACACUGUAAACGAUGAAUGCUAGGUGUAAGAGGUAUCGACCCCUUUUGUGCCGGAGUCAACACAAUAAGCAUUCCGCCUGGGGAGUACGGCCGCAAGGUUGAAACUCAAAUGAAUUGGCGGGG